UACGGGGGGGGCAAGCGUUGUUCGGAAUUACUGGGCGUAAAGGGCGUGUAGGCGGCCAACUAAGUCCGACGUGAAAUCCCCAGGCUUAACCUGGGAACUGCGUCGGAUACUGGAUGGCUUGAAUCCGGGAGAGGGAUGCGGAAUUCCAGGUGUAGCGGUGAAAUGCGUAGAUAUCAUUUGGAACGCCAAUGGUGAAAACAGGUAGCUGGGGGUGUGCUGACACUGAGACACGAAAGCCAGGGGAGCAAACGGG
rnacentral:rRNA from 1 species